GCGGGAAAAGCUCAAAUUUAAAAUCUGGCGGUGUUUUGCUGUCCGAGUUGUAAACUACAGAAGUGCAACCUGUGCUGGACCGUGUACAAGUCUUCUGGAAUGGAGCGUCACAGAGGGUGAGAAUCCCGUCUUUGACAUGGAACUACCAGUGCAUUGUGGUUGUGCGCUCAACGAGUCGAGUUGUUUGGGAAUGCAGCUCUAAAUGGGUGGUAAAUUCCAUCUAAAGCUAAAUAUUGGCGAGAGACCGAUAGCGAACAAGUACCGUGAGGGAAAGAUGAAAAGAACUUUGGAAAGAGAGUUAAACAGUAUGUGAAAUUGUUGAAAGGGAAACGUUUGAAGUCAGUCAUGUUGGCUGGGGAUCAGUUCAGUUAAUCUGCUGAGCGUAAUUCCUGGUUGACGGGCCAACAUCAGUUUUGACUGCCAGAGAAAGGCCAAGGGAAUGUGGCACCUCGGGGUGUGUUAUAGCUCUUGGUUGUAUGUGGUAGUUGGGACUGAGGAAAGCAGCGUGCCGCAAGGCUGGGUUUCGACCACAUUUGCGCUUAGGAUGUUGGCAAUAAUGGCUUUAAGCGACCCGUCUUGAAACACGGACCAAGGAGUCUAACAUGCAUGCGAGUGUUUGGGUGGAAACCCUGACGCAUAUGAAAGUGAAGUUGAGAC
rnacentral:rRNA from 1 species